GGCUGAAACUGAGGGAUUGACGGAAGGGCACACCAGGGGUGGAGCCUGUGGCUUUAUUUGAAUCCAACACGGGGAAACUUACCAGGACCAGAUGUUUUUUAUGACUGACAGGCUUCGGGUCUUUCAGGAUAUUGUUUUUGGUGGUGCAUGGCCGUUGGUGGUGCGUGGGUUGACCUGUCUAGCGUUGAUUCAGCUAACGAGCGAGAUUAUCGCCAAUUAUUUACUUUGCCGAAGUCCUUCGGUUAAAGUUCUAAUUGGGACUCCCUGCGAUUUUAGCAGGUGGAAGAGGGUAGCAAUAACAGGUCCGUGAUGCCCUUUAGAUGCUCUGGGCUGCACGCGUGCUACAAUGUUAGGAUCAAUAGGACUGCGAGCCUGAGAGGGUGCGCUACUCUUAUAAUCCCUAACGUAGUUGGGAUUGACGUUUGUAAUCAGCGUCAUGAACCAGGAAUCCCUUGUAAAUGUGUGUCAACAACGCACGUUGAAUACGUCCCUGCCCUUUGUACACACCGCCCGUCGCUCCUACCGAUUGGAUGACUCGGUGAAAUCACCGGAUGCUUACGAGCAGAAAGUGAUUAAAUCACGUUAUCUAGAGGAAGGAGAAGUCGUAACAAGGUAACGGUAGGUGAACCUGCCGUUGGAUCAGUU
rnacentral:ncRNA from 1 species